rnacentral:rRNA from 1 species
CUACGGGAGGCAGCAGUGAGGAAUAUUGCACAAUGGGGGGAACCCUGAUGCAGCAACGCCGCGUGGAGGAUGACGCAUUUCGGUGUGUAAACUCCUUUUAUAUGUCAAGAAAAUGACGGUAGCAUAUGAAUAAGUACCGGCUAACUCCGUGCCAGCAGCCGCGGUAAUACGGAGGGUGCAAGCGUUACUCGGAAUCACUGGGCGUAAAGGACGCGUAGGCGGGUUGGAAAGUCAGGUGUGAAAUCCUACAGCUUAACUGUAGAACUGCACUUGAAACUUCUAAUCUAGAGUAUGGGAGGGGGAGAUGGAAUUAAUGGUGUAGGGGUAAAAUCCGUAGAUAUCACUAGGAAUACCUAAAGCGAAGGCGAUCUCCUGGAACAUUACUGACGCUAAGGCGUGAAAGCGUGGGGAGCAAACAGGAUUAGAUACCCGUGUAGUC